CUCUCUUAUUCAUUUCUAUCUAUCCUUGUUGUAUUCACCGGCAGUCACGAUAUCUUAGAUUCUUUGUAAUCUUUUCAGUGCAGCGUCUUAACUAUUACUCCAAGAGCUUCGGGGGCUAAUCAUCUUAUAAAGAUGAACUCGGCAAUCCAGCAAAAACAGCUAGUUGGACUGUUUAUUUAUGUCCCUCAAAUGAGCUGAUUAUGAAUUCCUUGGAUGAGUCGCUAAGUUGCAGCGACUCUCAGGUUUUCCCAUCUGUGAAAUAAAGUGGACGAAAUUCCUGUUUUGAUCCGUUCUUGAGCAGCAAAUCAGCUUCUGCCAUACUUCUACACCUGCUGCCUGAGCUCAUUCCGUGUUCUCUUUGUUGUUGUCCAUUAUGUUUUCUCAGGCUGCGCUACAGAUCUGUUUCCUCCACCUAUUGAACCCCCCAUCCUAAAAACAGUUAGAAACUUCUGCAAUGCAUGAUAAGCCGCAUCUACCUAAUAUUAUCGACAGACUUGUUCUGCCAGGAAAAGAAAUGCCCAAUGAAAGCAAAUCAAUGGGCCAUGGAAGCAGGUCUUCCCAGCAGUGACCUAAUCUGCCUGUUUCAAAAGAAGAGGUUACAAUGACAUGAACCAUAAGACGGGAGAGAGAGCUCGCUAAGCUUGAAUCCCCGCCCGUAUGCUUACCUGCUAGGUCACAUCUCUGAGCUCCAAUGUCCUCAUCUGUGAAACCGUAAGAGCGAUAGUCACCUGACCUGGCUCUUCAGGUCACAAUGUCACGGUUUGUGGGUUCGAGCCCUGCAUCAGGCUCCGUGCCGACAGUGCACAGCUACUUGGGAUGCUCUCCCUGCCUCUCUGCCUCUCCCCUGCUUGUACUUGCUCUCUCUCAAAAAUAAAUAAAUAAACUAAAAAACACGCCCAA